UACGUAGGGUGCAAGCGUUAAUCGGAAUUACUGGGCGUAAGCGUGACGCAGGCGGUGCUGUAAGACCGAUGUGAAAUCCCCGGGCUUAACCUGGGAACUGCAUUGGUGACUGCAGCGCUGGAGUGUGGCAGAGGGGGGUGGAAUUCCGCGUGUAGCAGUGAAAUGCGUAGAGAUGCGGAGGAACACCGAUGGCGAAGGCAACCCCCUGGGCUGACACUGACGCUCAGGCACGAAAGCGUGGGGAGCAAACAGG
rnacentral:rRNA from 1 species